GACCGUGAAGACUGGGUCCAGGAACCACUGGGGGCUGGCUUCCUCUUGGGCAGGAGAAGAGGCUGCAGAUUGUGUAACUAAAGCCACUUCCUUUAUGAGAAGCUGUUAACACCAAAAUUUCCUCCUAGAUAAAUUUAUAAAAUGUUCUUAUGUUUAUUCUAGUUACCAAGGCUAAUCAUCCUGCCAUUUAUUUUCAGUGUGCUU
rnacentral:lncRNA from 1 species